rnacentral:rRNA from 1 species
AUACGGAGGAUCCGAGCGUUAUCCGGAUUUAUUGGGUUUAAAGGGUGCGCAGGCGGGAGAUUAAGUCGGCGGUGAAAUUUUGCAGCUCAACUGUAAAAGUGCCUUCGAAACUGGUUUCCUUGAGUGUAGAUGGAGUAGGCGGAAUUUGUGGUGUAGCGGUGAAAUGUAUAGAUAUCACGAGGAACUCCGAUUGCGCAGGCAGCUUACUAAACUACUAAUGACGCGCAGGAACGAAGGCGUCGGGAGCAAACAGGAUUAGAUACUAUCGUAGACCACGCAGUAAACGAUGAUAACUAGCUGUUUGCGAUACAAUGUAAGCGACUGAGCGAAAGCGUUAAGUAAUCCACCUGGGGAGUACGUUCGCAAGAAUGAAACUCAAAUGAAUUGACGGGG